CAAAAAAUAGUUUAAUAAGAAGUUAGAAUAAUAACUUUGGGAGUUAUAGGAAUAAGUUAGAUUCUUAUUUUUUUGA
rnacentral:tRNA from 1 species